GACGAACGCUGGCGGCGUGCCUAAUACAUGCAAGUCGAGCGAAGUUUUUCUGGUGCUUGCACUAGAAAAACUUAGCGGCGAACGGGUGAGUAACACGUAAAGAACCUGCCUCAUAGACUGGGACAACUAUUGGAAACGAUAGCUAAUACCGGAUAACAGUAUUUCUCGCAUGAGAGAUAUUUAAAAGUUGGUUAUGCUAACACUAUGAGAUGGCUUUGCGGUGCAUUAGCUAGUUGGCGGGGUAAAGGCCCACCAAGGCGACGAUGCAUAGCCGACCUGAGAGGGUGAUCGGCCACACUGGGACUGAGACACGGCCCAGACUCCUACGGGAGGCAGCAGUAGGGAAUCUUCCGCAAUGGGCGAAAGCCUGUCGGAGCAACGCCGCGUGAGUGAAGAAGGAUUUCGGUUCGUAAAGCUCUGUUGUUAGGGAAGAAUGGAUAUGUAGUAACUAUACAUGUAAGAGACGGUACCUAACCAGAAAGCCACGGCUAACUACGUG
rnacentral:rRNA from 1 species